UUUUUCAUUUUCAAGCUUAAAGCACAGAAAAAAUUAGUGUUUCAAAUGCUUAUAAAUUCUCUUCUUAGUGGACAAGACUGCAAGUCACACUGAACAGCAGAUUGUUGUCUCAAGCCAGUGCUGAUCAAUGACAGUUUAGCUGCAGUCUGUCAGAGAAGAGAGGAAAGAUGAGUCUCUCACAGAAACAGAGUGUAAGAUCAGACUCACAUGUGUCUGUGAAGAGUGACCAGUCAAAGGAUGACGGACCACACUUCAGUGAAGAAACAUCACAAAC